UACGAAGGGGGCUAGCGUUGUUCGGAAUUACUGGGCGUAAAGCGCAUGUAGGCGGAUAUUUAAGUCAGGGGUGAAAUCCCGCAGCUCAACUGCGGAACUGCCUUUGAUACUGGGUAUCUUGAGUAUGAAAGAGGUGAGUGGAAUUCCGAGUGUAGAGGUGAAAUUCGUAGAUAUUCGGAGGAACACCAGUGGCGAAGGCGGCUCACUGGUCCAUUACUGACGCUGAGGUGCGAAAGCGUGGGGAGCAAACAGG
rnacentral:rRNA from 1 species